rfam:Halomonas sp. BC04 BC04_c24, whole genome shotgun sequence.
GAGAGCCGUGUGCGGGAGAACCGCACGCACGGUUCGGAGGGCGGGGAGGUUAAGCCUUCCCGACCCCUAU